UCAUCAUCAUCUUCAUACCCAAGAAACACAAAACAUUUCUCUCUCUCAUAUUUCUCAAAGUCUGUCUCUCUUCACUUCGGUAUGAAGAUGACGAAUGCGAAUUCCUUUUCUUCUUCUUCUUCCUUUUAUGGAUGAUUUCUUAGAAUCUUGAUGUCAUAGUUUUGGGAAGAAAUUGUACUAAAGAUAUCCCAUAAAAGAAAAAAUCCACGGGUAAAAACCCUAAAAAUCACCAUCCUCUUUCCGGCCAUUUUACCCAAAACCACCGUCCAUCCACAAUCCCACAUUGUAAGCCUCACCCUUUCAUUUUCCAUUUCCUCUAUUCAUGUUACGAUUCUCGCCCAAAAAAACAGAGGAAAGAAUAAGGGGGGAAAGAUCAGCAGAAAGGGAGGGAAGGGUUAGGGUUGAGUACCAGCAGCGGCAGAGGAUCUGGGUUUAUGACUCCGGAGGGUUAUGGGGACCUCUUGUCUUCUGUUCCAAUAGAUUGGUCAUUUUCCUGAAAUGGCCAAUAACUCCCGAUCCACAGGCAUGCAGGGUGAUGCUGAAUUUGUACCCCCAGCAUUGGUGAUAAGUUGACAACUGCUGGGCUUUGCUGCAGUUUUCUUAAUUUAAAUAGAAUAGAAUACAGUAAAAAAUGGGGGGAGCUUGUUCCAGGAAGCAAGACCAACCGGUAAACGAGGAUAACCUGAACCGAGGGGCUUCUGGUAGAUAUACUAAAAGUGGGAGCUCAAAAUGGCUACGAACCUCAUUUUCUAGAUCAUCUAUUGGACAUAAACAAAUAUAGCACCUUCUCCAUGCUGCCAAAGGAUAUAAGUCACAGAUUUUUGACGAUUUAGUGUGUUCCCAAUGUCUAACUGAUUAUGUACUUGAAGCUUUUCGGGAUUGUGCUCUUCAGGUUUGCAAGCUUUGCUAAGUGAAGAAAUGGGUCACAAAUUGCUUUGGCUGUCUAAAGGAUAGACAGCAGCUGGUCUCAUGAGCUCACUUUUCUGUUUGUUGCAGGAUCUUAAUUUGGGAGAAUACCCAGGAUUUAAUGACAAUUGGAUGGACAUCGUCUCUUCACAGGGUUCAUCUCUACUCUCUGUGGAUCUUUCGGGUUCG